rnacentral:lncRNA from 1 species
GUGUACAUGUCCUUAUGCUGAUGUUGGAGUUCAUCCAAUAUGGAUGCCAAUAUAUAGCACCUACUUUUAUUAUUAUCGUCCAUCCACUUAUCAAGUGUAGCUCAUUGAUCAUGUAUUGGAUGAGCUGGUAACAUAGAGAUAUUCUAGUCGAGAAUAUGAUUUAAUUUUCUAAAACUAAGAACCAUUCUUAGGUUUCUGAGCCAAUCUAUGUAAUUGGUUUUAGUUAAACAAUUGAUAUCUAGGAUUUGAGCUAGA